rnacentral:piRNA from 2 species
UGGACACAGGACCAGUUUGAUAAAGG